rnacentral:rRNA from 1 species
UGCAGUCGAACGGUGACGACGGGGCUUGCUCUGUCUGAUCAGUGGCGAACGGGUGAGUAACACGUGAGUAACCUGCCCCCGACUCUGGAAUAACCGUGGGAAACGACGGCUAAUACCGGAUAUGAGACGCACGGGCAUCUGUGUGUCUGGAAAGAUUUAUCGGUCAGGGAUGGACUCGCGGCCUAUCAGCUUGUUGGUGGGGUAAUGGCCUACCAAGGCGACGACGGGUAGCCGGCCUGAGAGGGCGACCGGCCACACUGGGACUGAGAUACGGCCCAGACUCCUACGGGAGGCAGCAGUGGGGAAUAUUGCACAAUGGGCGCAAGCCUGAUGCAGCGACGCCGCGUGAGGGAUGAAGGCCUUCGGGUUGUAAACCUCUUUCAGCAGGGAAGAAGCGAAAGUGACGGUACCUGCAGAAGAAGCGCCGGCUAACUACGUGCCAGCAGCCGCGGUAAUACGUAGGGCGCAAGCGUUGUCCGGAAUUAUUGGGCGUAAAGAGCUCGUAGGCGGUUUGUCGCGUCUGCUGUGAAAACCUGAGGCUCAACCUCGGGCUUGCAGUGGGUACGGGCAGACUAGAGUGCGGUAGGGGUGACUGGAAUUCCUGGUGUAGCGGUGGAAUGCGCAGAUAUCAGGAGGAACACC